GGCAACUUUGACCUAACGAAAGCUGAAAACUUUCCAACGGUCAUUUUUUUCACGACCAGAAGGAGUUGAAAUGCAGCUUUUUGCAAGCUAUGGAAGUUCCUAUCGGAACGUGUUCCGGCCCAGGAGGGAACAUCAGCUUAUAUUGAACUCAAAAUUUUCGCGCGGGGAGUUCCAGAGGAGUUGCUCCACCCAACUUCCUUCAAAUCCGAUCGAAUCGGAUUCUGACCCAGGAAGGAGAUACCAAUGUUUAACUUCAUCCUGCCGAAGUGCUCGCGUUGAAAGCUGGUGAUGGCCAGAUAAUUUGAUAAAAUUCCUCCAGAAAACCUCCGAUGGGAAUGGAUUCCGGCCCAGGAGAGGGCUUAAGGAUACCUGCUUCUAAACGUGCAACCUUUCUAAAAGCUGUAAUUUAAAAAAGGUGGAAAAUCCAGUUGCGUCCCGGCAUUCUUAGAGCGAGAAAAGAAGAAUAGGAUUCUAGCUGGUGGACCACCGUGGAGGUACUCAAAAUUCAUGACAACAGUUAGUUGUACUAUUUAGCUGAAACAAAUAACAAAUUAUGUAUUUGUGUAAAACAUUAUACUCGGAAUUAAAAUUAUUAAUAAAUCUAUG